rnacentral:misc_RNA from 1 species
AAGUCGUAACAAGGUUUCCGUAGGUGAACCUGCGGAAGGAUCAUUACUAAUGUGAAUGUGUUGGGCAGCUGCCGCUCUUUCGGGAGGGAAGGCUGGCCGACACACCAAUGCUCGUGCUGGGAUGCUGUGGUCGUUUGGGGUUGCAGGUGGUUGUUUUGGACUGCAUGUGGGUGGGUUUUGCUCACCGACAUGCAGCCGGAAUGAUCUGUGCAACCUCAUUCGCACGCCAGCAUCGCGCACUUUCACGCUUGCAGUGUUUGACAGUUUCAUACCUCUAAAUAAUGACAACUUUUAACAACGGAUCUCUGGGCUCUU